UACGUAGGGUGCGAGCGUUAAUCAGAAUUACUGGGCGUAAAGCGUGCGCAGGCGGUUUGCUAAGACAGGUGUGAAAUCCCCGGGCUUAACCUGGGAACUGCGCUUGGAACUGGCAAGCUUGAGUGUGGCAGAGGGGGGUGGAAUUCCACGUGUAGCAGUGAAAUGCGUAGAGAUGUGGAGGAACACCGAUGGCGAAGGCAGCUCCCUGGGCUAACACUGACGCUCAUGCACGAAAGCGUGGGGAGCAAACAGG
rnacentral:rRNA from 1 species